CUUUUCUCCAGGAAGGAAAAAAAUAAAAAUAAUAAAAUAAAAGCAACUUAAUUCCCAACAGAGGCAGAGAAAAGGCUUCCCAAGGAAGAUUAAAAAUUGGCGAUCUGGAAAUCCCUGCAGAGGCAGCGGCGGAGGCAGCGGCGAUAAUUCCCGGGGCGGUGCGAUUCGGGAGCGGCUCUGCGCGGCUGCGCUCGCCCUGCGCACGUCGGGGCUGGUGGGUGUCAAACAGCAGCGGUGGCGGGCAGGUCACGUCGGAGCCUUGAUCCCCUUUUUUCCUUUUAUUCUCUUUUCCUUUUUUUUUUUUUUUUUUUUUUUUUUUUUUUCAGAGGAAGCGAAGCUCUCUUUCCUUGUUGUGGGUUUACUUUUGUUUUUAGAGGAAUCCCAGCCAACAAAAAUAAGCUCGUGUCUCAACAGCAGCGAACAGAGCGUGUCCGGGUGUGCUCCUACGGGGGAGGGGGGUGCCUGCUCUGCUCCGCUCCGCUCCGUGCCGCGGCUGGGCUCGGCUCGGCGGCUCUCUCCAAGGGUGAAGCGCUAAGGAUCUGCCUCUCCUUGGGCGCCUGCCGCCCUUAUAUCCCGCCGGCCGACUGCAUGCCUAAUGAGAUGCAAAUGAGCAGCCCCCCAAUCUGGCUAGAGCUGUCACAAAGGAGCCACUUUUCCAACCCUCCUCUCAAUGGAUCGCCAAAUGGGUAACACCCCCUCUGCACCGGGGAGAGGCAGUGCUACACGCUCCGGCCAGAGAGCAGCCCCAGGGACGGCGGGCUGUAAUUGCCUCUUGGAACGUGCAGAGCAGCCGCCGUGACCCCAAAAAGUGACUCGGUGAUCGUGACCGCUCCAAGGGGCAUCUCCGGCGUUAAAGGGACAAGGGAGGUGGGAGCCAGCGAGCCACGACGAGGGGAGUCCCAUCCCAUGAAAUUCACACUGCAUUUACCCUGGCAUAAGCGGGGUAACUGGGGAGGGGGAGAACGAACGCGGACGAAGGGACCCGGGGCUCGCUCUUCCCUUGGCUCCGCUGACGGCGCGCAUCCCGCCGGCGGAGGCACGGGGGAUCCCCGGGGGUCCGGCGGCGAGGGACGACGCGGGCCGGUUCGCGGCGGGGACUCGUGGAAGGGACCCGUUUGCGGGGCUCCGCGGGUCCCGUGCCCGCCACCACCGCUGCCGGAGAGAGCCACUCGCUGCGCCCGCGUCCCGCACCCCUCUAUGAUUAUUAUCAUCACCAGCAACCUCUCCCUCUCUCUCCGUCUCUCUCUCUCUCUCUCUCUCCCUCUCUUUUUUCGUCCUUCAGCUUAGUAAAAAGUGAGUUUGGUGUG